rnacentral:tRNA from 1 species
GGGGUAUAGAUCAGUGGUAGAGCAUCUGAGAAGAUCGCAGGUUCAAUUCCUGGCACCACCA